UACGUAGGGGGCAAGCGUUGUCCGGAUUUAUUGGGCGUAAAGAGCGUGUAGGCGGCCAUGUAGGUCCGUUGUGAAAUCUCGAGGCUCAACCUCGAGACGCCGAUGGAAACCAUGUGGCUAGAGUCCGGAAGAGGAGAGUGGAAUUCCUGGUGUAGCGGUGAAAUGCGCAGAUAUCAGGAAGAACACCCGUGGCGAAGGCGGCUCGCUGGGACGUGACUGACGCUGAGACGCGAAAGCGUGGGGAGCGAACAGG
rnacentral:rRNA from 1 species